GAGACACUGACACGCCGGCAGCACAAUGAUGAUGUCACUGACUCUACUGCUGGCCACCCUGGGGCUCCUUCUUCAGGGUUCAUCAGGAGACAUCAUCCUGACUCAGUCUCCUGGAGCUCAGUCUGUGGUUGCAGGGCAGUCUGUCUCCAUCACAUGUAGAACCAGUACAAGUGUUGGUGGCUACCUUCACUGGUACCUUCAGAAACCUGGCAAAGCUCCUAAACUCCUGAUUUAUAAAGCUACAAAUCGUCAGUCUGGAGUUUCAGAUCAUUUCAGUGGAAGUGGAUCUGGCACUGAGUACACUCUGAGCAUCAGAGGAGUCCAGGCUGAAGAUUCAGGAGUUUAUUACUGUCAGCAGGGUUACAGCUCGUUCACACAGUGA